GGCUGUGUAUGUGAAGUUGGCCUGCUACGCGACCGUUUCUUUUGGACGUAGCCUGUUUUUUGGGCUCCCGGCGUAUUCUCGCGUUCCUUGUGCACUUCGGCACGGCGCCACUGCACUAUUCGACUACGGCUAGGAUACUUUUGAGGUACGCCUACCGCACCUGGCGUUGUCACUAGGUGGGCGAAAAGCAGCUCGGUCGUGGUGAGAAUCUGAUGGCAUUCGGUGGAGCUUCGUACGAGUGCUGCGGCUGCUUACCUGGGGCCACAACGUUAGAUGAACGCACAAAAAUUUCGGAACGAGCAUUUAUAUAGAGCGAAAUAAACAUUUCCACAAGGUGUCUUGCGUCUACCUUAUGAAAUGCCAUGUGGUACAGAUUAGAUGGAGGCUUGUAAAGAUCGUUCGCAAUCCUUUUAAUUUAACGAAUCGCACUCAGACCGCGCGAUUGAGCAGCAGAAGCAAAAAAAAAAAAAAAAAAAACGCGCCGAGUAGCGCAGUGUGAGCUAACUAUUAGCGUCCAAAACGCGCGUACCCUAAACCAUAAGCGGAAGGAGUUAAUCCCAUCCGCUUGUUGCGCUACAAUGAAUUGGGCCGCUGGGCUCUAUGGCAGUGUCCGCUCGUGUUGAGUGACUUUCUCUAUUGUGCUACAUUUUCUAUUUCCGUCCUCCGCUGUUGUACGCGUUCGCUCGAUUACGCCGCCGCUCACCGCAGGAACGGGCCAGUAAGAGCUGCACUCUGCAAUCCGUGGCACAAUCCCGUGUAAUAUUAUUUCACGGUCGGCGCGUACGCGGCGAAGCGCUCAUAAUUGAUUUCCUUUCCUCAGCUAGGUUCCUUAUCUUAAGGGUGCAUUUAAUCGUGUGACUGUUAGCCACGUGCU